rnacentral:rRNA from 1 species
GACGGAGGAUGCAAGUGUUAUCCGGAAUCACUGGGCGUAAAGCGUCUGUAGGUGGUUUAAUAAGUCAACUGUUAAAUCUUGAGGCUCAACCUCAAAAUCGCAGUCGAAACUAUUAGGCUAGAGUAUAGUAGGGGUAAAGGGAAUUUCCAGUGGAGCGGUGAAAUGCGUAGAGAUUGGAAAGAACACCGAUGGCGAAGGCACUUUACUGGGCUAUUACUAACACUCAGAGACGAAAGCUAGGGUAGCAGAUGGG